GAAAUGCGAUAAGUAGUGUGAAUUGCAGAAUUCAGUGAAUCAUCGAAUCUUUGAACGCACAUUGCGCCCUUUGGUAUUCCAAAGGGCAUGCCUGUUCGAGCGUCAUUUGUACCCUCAAGCUUUGCUUGGCGUUGGGCGUCUUGUCUCCAGUUCGCUGGAGACUCGCCUUAAAGUAAUUGGCAGCCGGCCUACUGGUUUCGGAGCGCAGCACAAGUCGCGCUCUCUUCCAGCCAAGGUCAGCAUCCACAAAGCCUUUUUUCAACUUUUGACCUCGGAUCAGGUAGGGAUACCCGCUGAACUUAAGC
rnacentral:misc_RNA from 1 species